CUGUUGAUUGUGGCCUGUGGAAUGUUGUCCCUCUCCUCUUCAAUGGCUGUGGGAAGUUGCUGGAUAUUGGCGGGAACUGGAAUUCGCUGUAGUACACGUCAAUCCAGAGCAUCUUUUAACAUGCUCAAUGUCUGACCUGUCAGGUGGAUGUAUUAUCUUGGUGAAAGAGAAACACUCACUAACAGAGUUCUGGAAGGAGCUGAUGUCCCAAUGGCGGAAGGUGCUGUUCUUGAAGCUGGCCUGGCUCUUGGUGAUGCGAUAGAUCUUCCUCAGCACGGCCCGGCGCAGCAAAAUGUAGACCCAGGGG